CCUACGGGAGGCUGCAGUGGGGAAUAUUGGACAAUGGGGGCAACCCUGAUCCAGCCAUGCCGCGUGUGUGAAGAAGGCCCUCGGGUUGUAAAGCACUUUCAGUGAGGAAGAACGCCUGGUGGUUAAUACCCAUCAGGAAAGACAUCACUCACAGAAGAAGCACCGGCUAACUCCGUGCCAGCAGCCGCGGUAAUACGGAGGGUGCGAGCGUUAAUCGGAAUUACUGCGCGUAAAGCGCGCGUAGGUGGCUUGAUAAGCCGGUUGUGAAAGCCCCGGGCUCAACCUGGGAACGGCAUCCGGAAAUGGCAAGCUAGAGUGCAGGAGAGGAAGGUAGAAUUCCCGGGUUAGCGGGGAAAAGCGGAGAGAUUGGGAGGAAUACCAGUGGCGAAGGCGGCCUUCUGGACUGACACUGACACUGAGGUGCGAAAGCGUGGGUAGCAAACAGGAUUAGAUACCCGGGUAGUC
rnacentral:rRNA from 1 species